rnacentral:lncRNA from 1 species
UGCCAAAGCUUAUCCAAUAAAUAACCUAAAUUGUCUAAUCUCUAUUUAAAAAAUUGAAUGUGUAAGCGAUGUACUUCCAGAAAGAAAACUUUACAGAAAAAAUAGACAAAGGUAUUACAAGAAAACAAAAUUUCAGACCUAUUUCCCUCAUGAAUAUAGAUGUAAAACCUCAAUAAAUUAUAAGCAAAUAAAAAUCCAAUAAUAUAUACAAAUAAUAAUAUAUCAUGGUUAAAGUAAGGUAUAAUGAAAUAAUUAAAAAGGCUAAUUUAACAUUCAGAUAUUUGUCAAUAUAAUUCACCAUAUCAACACACAAAAGAAAACAAAGAUAUGAUGAUUUCCAUGGAAAGA